rnacentral:rRNA from 1 species
GUCUAUGGCCAUGCCACUCUGAAUAAGCCCAAUAUCUGAUCUCAGAAGCUAAGCAGUGUCAGGCUUGGUUAGUACUUGGAUGGGAGACCAUCUAGAGACCAGUGCUGUAGCAU